UUAAGAGUUUGUCAGUAAAUUCCCGGGUGAAUCCGUAUACACUGAUUAUCCGCACAGGCCAAAGGUGUUAUUUGGCUCCCACAUAUUAACCUCAUACUCAUUUCUCCAGUCUCACACAGCUGUUGGUACAGUAUCUGAGCAAGACAAACCCUGCAACAUCUACUCUGCACUGCUGAUAACGGCUAUGGCCAAGAGCUGGGACACCGCUUGUGGGCAGUGGGGAGGAGGAGAAAGAAGCAACCUCAGACGGAAAGAAGCAGAAUAAAAGGAGAAGUUGUAUUCUCUGAUGAUGCAAGAUGGAUGAAGAAAAGUAAUGAGCACCUGGAGCUGCUUACGGAAAAGAGCAAUGCCGGAUAACCAUCAACAUCCUCAUCAUCAGUUAUCACUGCAAGACCAACUAAUGGCCUAAACACUCAUUUCCACUUUCUCUGGGCUUUCUCCCCCACUAAUGCUACAUUAAGGAUCUCUAUACCAGCGUUGUCUUCUACUGUAUGUACGUUCAGGCUUAUUGCUGUUUCUUCAAGGGAAAUCUGCACACCACACUAUCUCUUCCAGUUGAUUUGAGACUUUGCUAAAAAAUCCUUAUGUAGGAUAUAUCUUAAUUUAAGCAGUGACUUGGACUGGAGAUCACGAGUCACCUGAAUGCUUUUGCAUAUGCUACCGUUAGUUUUGUAGUAAGGAUAACAUCUUCCUGUAUGUUGGUGAUACAAAAAGUCCUACAUCCGUCUGACAGUUUCUGCACAGUGAAAAUGCAAAUAUUUGCACACAACCCCACUGUACUACUGUAGGAAUACUGUUGAGCCUCUGGAGAGCUCAAACACUAGAAAAUAUUAAAGAUCUUCAUCUGCCUUCCACACACUA